AUGUCUCUACGGAACACUUCCGCCCUGGCGUGACUUGACUUGACGCAGAUUUUCGAGGAGUCGCCAUUAACGUUUUUGCAGUUCAUGUUCGGAAAUGGCACCUGAAGUAUAGUCAAACCUAUACUGGUCAAACCCUGGACGAUAAGAUAACAUCCUUGGAUUAGAAAGACAAAUUACUCAUAUACAGAUGUAGCUGUGGCAGGCAGACUGUAAUUCUUAUUUCCGAGGAUGCUUUUAAUGAGCUGGGCGAAAAUUUCUGAAGGCAUAGGAUAUUAACAAUGGUAAUAUUCAUUCAACAGGUAUGAUUUAAGCAUAAUAAGUGAAAAUGGAGACAAAUGAGAAGGAAUCGAAGUAUGAUGAAGUGAAGUCUGGUUCAUGGUUUCUUCCCUUGGAGUUGCUAAAGGAAGGAUUUAUGACAAUAAACUGAUUGCCCAACAAAGGAGAUGGAUAUAGAUAAGUUGAUGUUCGGGCCGUGGUUGACUGAAAAACUCUUGAAAAUGUUCACCACAGUUGUGGAUGAAACGUCGGGAAAACAUCUCAACAGACUACGGCUCAUCUGCCUGGACUACAACUCGCCUAUAUUCGACGCCGAGCGUGAGAGUCUACAAUCAACAUUAAAUGAGAUGGAGUUACAAUUAAUUUUGAUGCUACUGAAACCACCACUGCUUUUGAUGUCUUCACAUAAUGCAGUUAAUUUUGGACCUGUGAAAGAGAAGCAACUGGAAAUUGGAAACCUUUGAAACAACAGAUUUGUUUGCAGUGGUAGUCCUCGUGGAUUUGGUUGCAGUUGAUUAAGAUUGCCCAGCAAACGAGAGAAUUACAAUUCAGUUUGGUCCUACUGAAACAAGUAAUGUCUACAUGGGUGUGGUCUUUCAUGGAUUUUCUUGAUUUGCUGAUUUUGUCUUCGCCUUGCAACAUUAUGCGGUUAAUUUUCAAUCGACGAGUGAGAGCAACUGGAGAUUUAUUCAAGUUCCAGUGAAACAACAUAUUUUCUGCUAUGAUAUUCCUCCCGGAUUUGGUUUCCUUUUCACGCAUGCAAACUUUGGAAUGUUACAGUCUACAGUUAAUUAAGAUCGACGUUGGAGAAGACAGAUGACCCCAUGGUUAAAAUAGUUCUUUAUCUUGCAUGCUCUAUUUAGUAGAAUUCAUUAAGUCAAU